CGCUUCUUUUUCCACCGGAGCUUGCUCCACCGGAAAAAGAAGAGUGGCGAACGGGUGAGUAACACGUGGGUAACCUGCCCAUCAGAAGGGGAUAACACUUGGAAACAGGUGCUAAUACCGUAUAACAAUCGAAACCGCAUGGUUUUGAUUUGAAAGGCGCUUUCGGGUGUCGCUGAUGGAUGGACCCGCGGUGCAUUAGCUAGUUGGUGAGGUAACGGCUCACCAAGGCCACGAUGCAUAGCCGACCUGAGAGGGUGAUCGGCCACAUUGGGACUGAGACACGGCCCAAACUCCUACGGGAGGCAGCAGUAGGGAAUCUUCGGCAAUGGACGAAAGUCUGACCGAGCAACGCCGCGUGAGUGAAGAAGGUUUUCGGAUCGUAAAACUCUGUUGUUAGAGAAGAACAAGGAUGAGAGUAACUGUUCAUCCCUUGACGGUAUCUAACCAGAAAGCCACGGCUAACUACGUGCC
rnacentral:rRNA from 1 species